AAGAAACUGGAUAUCUAAUUAUUUCAAGAAACAACAAAGGAUCCUUGAAGGUUGUUUGGUCUUUUCCUCCAUUCGAAUCAAGGUUAAAGUGACCACAUGGCACUUUUUAAAGCCUUUGAAGGAUAGAAGGAUGCAAACCAUAAUGAAAGGAGUCCUGUCACUUUGCAAAUGAC